rnacentral:rRNA from 1 species
GGAUGCGAUCAUAGCAGCACUAAAGCACCGGAUCCCAUUAGAACUCCGAAGUUAAGCGUGCUUGGGCUAGAGUAGUACUAAGAUGGGUGACCUCUUGGGAAGUCAUCGUGUUGCAUUCC